rnacentral:rRNA from 1 species
UACGUAGGGAGCAAGCGUUGUCCGGAAUCAUUGGGCGUAAAGCGCGCGUAGGUGGCUUCGUAAGUCCGUUGUGAAAGUACAAAGGCUCAACCUUUGAAAGCCGAUGGAUACUGCGGAGCUAGAGUACGGAAGAGGCGAGUGGAAUCCUGGUGGUAGCGGUGAAAUGCGUAGAUAUCUGGAAGGAACACCGGUGGCGAAGGCGGCAGA